GCCACUCCCACAAACGUCUACGACCGCGCCUACAUAGUUUUGCAUGUUUACAAUUCUAAUUUUGAACAGCCAAUCAGGUUCUUGGUAAUUGGCUGUUUAAAAUUAGAAUUGUAAACGUGCAACAAUAUGUAGGCGCGGUCGUAGACGUUUGUGGGAGUGGU